rnacentral:rRNA from 1 species
UAAACGCCGGGAGUAACUAUAACUCUCUUAAGGUAGCCAAAUGCCUUGUCUGGUAAGUUCAGACGUGCAUGAAUGGUCCAACGUUCUCCCUAUUGUCCCAGCCUUCUGACGAUUGAAAUUACACUCCGGCGAACGGUCCGGAGAAGCCCAGUGGGACGAGAAGACCCCGUGGAGUUUUACUGCAGCUUGUUGUUGUGGUUCUGAAUUGGAUACAGAGUGUAGUCGGGAGCGUCGAUGCCGCGAUCUCGGUCACGGCGGAGCAACAUUGGAACACCGGCUUUCCCCUUUGGUAUCACUAACGAUGCAAAAAGCAUCGGACACCCGCAGGUGGGCAGUUUGGCUGGGGCGGCUCACUCUAGAAACAAUAUCUAGAGUAACCAAUGAUCAGCUCAAGCGGGUCAGGAAUCCGCCGUAGAGUUUAAGAGCAAAAGCUGGUCUGACUGGAUUCUGAUCACCAAGGAAUCCUGAGGCUAACGCCUGGUCUAGCGAUCCUCAACAUUUCUCGUGUGGAUGGUUGAGGUGAUAGAAAAAUUACCCCGGGGGUAACAGAGUUGUCACGAGUAAGAGUCCCUAUCGACCUCGUGGCUUGCUUCCUCGAUGUCGGCUCUUCCUAUCCUGGAGGCGCACAUAAGUGUUUCCGCAGCGGAACACUGCGCAAAACCUCCAAGGGUGGGGCUGUACGCCCAUUAAAAGGGAACGUGAGCUGGGUUUAGACCGUCGUGAGACAGGUCGGAUUCUAUCUACUGGGUUUGUAGGUUGACUGAGGGUAAGGGAAAAUCAGUACGAGAGGAACAUUUUGCCGGCGCCUCUAGUGUACCGGUUAUCUGACAAGGUAUUGCCGGGCAGCCACGCGCCAACGGAUAAGUGCUGAAAGCAUCUAAGCACGAAGUCGGACCCGAAAAUAGUCAGCCAAUCUCGUGUAA